UAGCAACUUUAUUUAAUAAUUCAUUCUUUUUGAUGUUCACUGCUGUUGAAGCUACUCUCUAUGUUCUGCUUGAUCUGCUCAUCGUGGCGGUGUUCAUGAAAGCAAGAUUGAUGUGUUAUGAAUAAUGAGGAAAAGAGAGUGAACUGCCAAAUCCAAAUUUUAUGAAUUUGGAGAAAUAACCAGACCUCUUUUGGCUCAGAGACACA
ensembl:ncRNA C18F3.10 ncRNA